GAUGAACGCUGACAGAAUGCUUAACACAUGCAAGUCUUUGGUGAAGCUGUGCUUGCACAGCCUAGCCAAGGCGGACGGGUGAGUAACGCGUAAGGAACUUGCCCUGCAGUCAGGGAUAACAGACGGAAACGACUGAUAAGACCUGGUAAAGUCAGGCGGACUCAUGUCCAGCCUGAUGAAAAGAGAUGCUGCAGGAGAGCCUUGCGUCCUAUUAGCUUGUUGGUGGGGUAACGGCCCACCAAGGCAAUGAUAGGUAGCCGGCCUGAGAGGGUGGACGGCCACAAGGGGACUGAGAUACGGCCCUUACUCCUACGGGAGGCAGCAGUGGGGAAUAUUGGACAAUGGGGGCAACACUGAUCCAGCAAUUCUGUGUGAACGAUGAAGGUUUUCGGAUUGUAAAGUGCUUUCAGCAGGGAAGAAAAAAAUGACGGUACCUGCAGAAGAAGCGACGGCUAAAUACGUG
rnacentral:rRNA from 1 species